ACAAACGACUCUCGGCAACGGAUAUCUCGGCUCAUGCAUCGAUGAAGAACGUAGCAAAAUGCGAUACUUGGUGUGAAUUGCAGAAUCCCGUGAACCAUCGAGUUUUUGAACGCAAGUUGCGCCCAAAGCCAUCCGGCUAAGGGCACGCCUGCCUGGGCGUCACGC
rnacentral:rRNA from 1 species